GAAAUGCGAUAAGUAAUGUGAAUUGCAGAAUUCAGUGAAUCAUCGAAUCUUUGAACGCACCUUGCGCCCCCUGGCAUUCCGGGGGGCAUGCCUGUCCGAGCGUCAUUGCUGCCCUUCAAGCCCGGCUUGUGUGUUGGGUCGUCGUCCCCUCCGGGGGACGGGCCCGAAAGGCAGCGGCGGCACCGCGUCCGGUCCUCGAGCGUAUGGGGCUUUGUCACCCGCUCGAUAAGGACCGGCCGGGCGCCAGCCGGCGUCUCCAACCUUUUUUUCUCAGGUUGACCUCGGAUCAGGUAGGGAUACCCGCUGAACUUAAGC
rnacentral:misc_RNA from 1 species